rnacentral:lncRNA from 1 species
CUUCAGAGCCCAAGGCUUGCUUUACUCGCUACUACCAGCUCUGGGCUGCAAGGGGUGUGUGUGGGGGUCAGGCCGGGGGAUUGAGUGUCCCGUCUGUGUUCCUGCUUCUGAAUUCUUCCUUGCGCUCUGGCCUCAAGCUUCUAGUGUCCUUUCAUCCUUGACAAGUCCUCCUGGAAGGUAUCACUCCAAGUGAUGGACACCACAGAAAUGGGAAGCUGCCUACCACGUGGGGAGCAACUUGGCAUUGAAAGGCCCUGGCAGAAAGCACAGACUCCAGUUUGGGUACUUGGCUGUGUGACUACACAAGCUUUAGGAGCUCCGCUAUGUGGAUUUUUCUGGGAAACCAGAAGCUGUGGGCCUCAGCAAGCAAAGAAUUCCUGGGAAGGAGAGCAAACCCACUGGACCAUCGCUGGAAGGAGAGUUGAAUCACGUGACUAUGUCAGUGUGUCUUGGUCGGGAGAGGUGCCUUCAAUAACAGAGGAAGCGAAGGAGCUGGUAGAAAGCUUCUAUCUGAUGAAGACUCCUUGGGGUGAGGAUGGGGCAGGAAAACAAGGGAUUGGAGACACCUCUCUGUGAGAAAGGCACUGUUGUCAUCAUUUUUUUUUUUUCUUCAACAGAAAUCUGGGCAGAGAGGUUGAGUUACUUGUUUGAAGUUACACAGCUGGUGAGUAGCACAGAUGAAAUUUGAACAGACACUUCACCAAAGGCACAGGGAAGGCAAAUAAGCACAUGAAUAAAUACUCAGCAG